UACGUAGGGUGCGAGCGUUAAUCGGAAUACUGGGCGUAAAGCGUGCGCAGGCGGUGAUGUAAGACAGAUGUGAAAUCCCCGGGCUUAACCUGGGAACUGCGCUUGUAACUAGCGGGCUAGAGUGCGGCAGAGGGGGGUGGAAUUCCGACGUGUAGCAGUGAAAUGCGUAGAUAUGUGGAGGAACACCGAUGGCGAAGGCAGCCCCCUGGGUCGACACUGACGCUCAUGCACAAAAGCGUGGGGAGCAAACAGG
rnacentral:rRNA from 1 species